ensembl:lncRNA
GGGGCCAGGUAGCAUCUAUUAUGCGCAGUGAACCCAGGGCCUGCGGCAGGGGCCAGGUGGGAAUUCUGACCCUCACAGCCAGACAGUAUAGAAUGGCCCGUGUCUUAUCUUCGUAUGGCAGUGCUUGGAUGUACUCUUGAGUACUGAAAUGUGAUGGUCCUCUCCUAGGAACAUCGUGGCCCACACACCUGGACAUCUGCGUGGCUGCUUUAUUGAAGGACUCUGCUGAAUCUUAACCAAAGACUGGAAAUCCCUAGACCAUAUACUAAGGCACUGUUAGAUGGCUUCCUGACGCAACCCUUGAUUCCUCUUGUAGACAAGGGUCCCUGAAUUCUCCUCUGUAGAGUGGAAUAUCUGGAAUAACUUAAUAAAUAGUUGCUUCCUUUUCACCAAAAGAAUUUCCUCCCAACUCCUUACUUUCCCUUUAAUUGAAAUCAUUGUGUUUUUUUAGAAUUUAAGACUUUAAUUCUUACAAUUUUCCUCAUAGACUUACAUCACUGAUACAUCAGCAACCUCUAGAGUUAAGGAAAACUGGGAAGUGAAGACGUGUCCAAAAAUCUUCUCAUGGGGUAAGGUGUAAGAGGUGGUAUACAGACUACGGGGGUCAGCACAGGCCGUUCGUGGGGAGCAUCCUGUUGAGCACACGAUUGACCCCUCUCCAGGCAGAAGGAGGAGGACCAGACCUGGGUCCUCUUGAGGUAGCAAGAUCAUUAAUUUGCUGAUAUCGUAAAUUCAGUUUCCUCUAUCCCUAUACACAUUCUGCACUCCAGUCUUGGCUUAUGGUUCAGAAAAAUCUUGAUCUCUGCUUGUGGCUCAGGAAGUCACUCCUCUGAGCCAUGUUACAGCAGAAUCUCAGGACCAGUGGAGGACAUUAUGGCUAGCAUCAGGACAUGGCCACGGAGAGGUCAGAACGCAGAGGAGUAGCCCUGGGAACAAGCCUUGUAUCUGCUGACUAAGACUUUCAACCAGAUAAAGUUGGUGACAUCUCAGCUGACGUCCUUAUGGUAGAGAUGAUCUGAAAUCAGUGCUGGUGCCUUAAUGACUUGGCAUCCUUAAUAGCUUCUCACCAUGGCCCAGGUCAGUGGUUCUCAAACUGUAAAAAGAAUCUGGAGGGCUUGUGAAGACAGAUUGUUGGGACCUAUACCCAGCUUCUGACGCUGCAGGUCUGGGGAGGAGCUGAGAAUUUGAAUUACUAGUAAGUUUCAGAUGCUGACAAUACUGUUGGUUUGGGGACCUCACACUGAGUGUCUGAUUCUUGCUGUAGAUCAACUUGCCUGUAGUGGUGGGGACUCAAGACAUCUCUACGACCUCUGCCCUCUGUGCUUCAUCUUCUUUUCCUCUUUUCUGUUCAGAUACCUCUUCUUAGAUCAUGUUGUCUUACACAUUAAAGUUUUCUUCCUUCAUGGGCUUGGCUAUUUUCAGUAAAAGUUUAGUCACUUAAUACCAUCCUCCACAGUCAUGCCAGAAUGUUUUGUCUAAUGUGAUCAUUUCCCUAAUCAAAGAUUUUCACAGAUGUCCCAGCUGCUCAAAUAUAUUUAAGGACACCCCCCCACCACCACCGCCUGUCUCUUCACUGCCUGUUUGGCUUCAUCAGCGAGGAUGCUUUUGUUCACAAGUAACUGAAUUAGUCAGUUCUUGGUGCCUGAUACUCCAUCCCAAAUCUCCGUGUCUUACAGCACUGGACAUGUGUUAUUGCUCACGCGUCUGUGGGUCGGAUGGGCAGACUUUCUGGGCUUGGCCAGGCUCACUCAUGUGUCUGUGGUCAGCUGGCGGUUGAGGAGGCAUGUCUGAUCUUGAUCCUGGUCUUGGCUGACUCUCAUGUUUGGGUGUCGGCUAGUCGUCAGCCAGACCAGGAUGACCUUAACUGAAGUGACCAGGCUCUCUUCCACGUGGUCUGUCAUUCUUUGGGGGCUGGCCCAGGCUGGUAGUCACGGCGGUGGAAGAAUUCCAAGCGGAAGCUGAGACACUCAAGGUCCCAUGUGGUCUGGGCUGAGAACCGGCAUCCCGUCCCUUCUGUCACUUUCAACUGAGUAAAGCCGUCCUCACAGAGUGGGAAAACUGCCAGCUGAAGAACAUGGAUCCAGGGACGCCAGUAACUGAGGCUGCAAAUGCAGUCAGCCUGCCACACACAAAAUCCAAAUUCAAUGAACCUUUCACUGAUUAAGUACCUCUCACGAUGGGAAAGCCAGGAUUCAGGUAGAGCAUAGAGCUCUCGGCACUGGUCAGUGAUGACAUCAGCGACCCAGAUAUGUUUCCUCUUUCCUCUCAGCCAUUCUCAGUCUACUGGCUCUUUCUCAGGCCAGCUCAUUUUGAGGUCUCAAACAGUUAUCAGCACUAAUUGAAGAAAAAUGCCUCAUUGUUCACAUUUGGUAGGUUCUUCUACCCAGGAGUCCUGAAAAAUUCUCUCCUGCUGUGCUGGCUCUGACUGGCUUCUAUCUCCCCAUCUCUAAACUCUCAUUUCUUUGGGGAAGCGAAUAAGAAACUUCCAGACCAGAAGUAGCUUAAACAACUCAGGCCAUUCAUCCCUUGUUUAGAAAAAAGUGUAGGGUCCUCUCGUAUAUGAAGAAGAUUGGAGUCACGGUGGGCCUGAGAUAGGUCCGCCGGGUUUGCAGUCUCAUCAAGAGGUCAGACUCCUCCGGUUUCCUCUGUUGCCCAAAGUGCUAAUGUUGUUCACCUCUCAUGCUCUGAACCUCGUGACCUCGCUACUCAGCACCCAAGUAUUAGGAG